rnacentral:lncRNA from 10 species
GUGCGGGGGAAGAUGUAGCAGCUUCUUCUCCGAACCAACCCUUUGCCUUCGGACUUCUCCGGGGCCAGCAGCCGCCCGACCAGGGGCCCGGGGCCACGGGCUCAGCCGACGACCAUGGGCUCCGUGUCCAACCAGCAGUUUGCAGGCAGAGGUUGCAGUGAGCUGAGAUCGCACCACUGCACUCCAGCCUGGUUACAGAGCAAGACUCUGUCUCAAACAAAACAAAACAAAACAAAAACACACUACUGUAUUUUGGAUGGAUCAAACCUCCUUAAUUUUAAUUUCUAAUCCUAAAGUAAAGAGAUGCAAUUGGGGGCCUUCCAUGUAGAAAGUGGGGUCAGGAGGCCAAGAAAGGGAAUAUGAAUGUAUAUCCAAGUCACUCAGGAACUUUUAUGCAGGUGCUAGAAACUUUAUGUCAAAGUGGCCACAAGAUUGUUUAAUAGGAGACGAACGAAUGUAACUCCAUGUUUACUGCUAAAAACCAAAGCUUUGUGUAAAAUCUUGAAUUUAUGGGGCGGGAGGGUAGGAAAGCCUGUACCUGUCUGUUUUUUUCCUGAUCCUUUUCCCUCAUUCCUGAACUGCAGGAGACUGAGCCCCUUUGGGCUUUGGUGACCCCAUCACUGGGGUGUGUUUAUUUGAUGGUUGAUUUUGCUGUACUGGGUACUUCCUUUCCCAUUUUCUAAUCAUUUUUUAACACAAGCUGACUCUUCCCUUCCCUUCUCCUUUCCCUGGGAAAAUACAAUGAAUAAAUAAAGACUUAUUGGUACGCAAACUGUC